UGGGGAAUAUUGCACAAUGGGCGCAAGCCUGAUGCAGCCAUGCCGCGUGUGUGAAGAAGGCCUUCGGGUUGUAAAGCACUUUCAGCGGGGAGGAAGGCGAUAAGGUUAAUAACCUUGUCGAUUGACGUUACCCGCAGAAGAAGCACCGGCUAACUCCGUGCCAGCAGCCGCGGUAAUACGGAGGGUGCAAGCGUUAAUCGGAAUUACUGGGCGUAAAGCGCACGCAGGCGGUCUGUCAAGUCGGAUGUGAAAUCCCCGGGCUCAACCUGGGAACUGCGUUCGAAACUGGCAGGCGAGAGUCUUGUAGAGGGGGGUAGAAUUCCAGGUGUAGCGGUGAAAUGCGUAGAGAUCUGGAGGAAUACCGGUGGCGAAGGCGGCCCCCUGGACAAAGACUGACGCUCAGGUGCGAAAGCGUGGGGAGCAAACAGG
rnacentral:rRNA from 1 species